ACGACCUUACUUGAACAGGAUCUUUUCUAUAGGUUGUACAUCUGUUUCCUUGAGUUCUAAGGAGACAAGGAAUCCAAGUCUGGUUGAUGAGCCAUGACCGUGCGAUCAGAGCGUGAAUAACAGAUUCGCGGUCCUCAGACCGUUGGAUCAGUAGAGGAUCGUUCUCAGCUACUCUUCCGAAUAGCUGCGAUGGUCGCACGGUUGUCUGACAGACU